AAGAAAUCAAAGGGACAGAGAAUGUUCAACUCCUGAGUGCUGCACUGAGGAAGAGUGAAAUGGACAAAGGGACUCUGAAGAAAAACUUUGUAAUCCUGCAGAGAAAAUCUCCUGACAACUGCAUGGGCCAGUCUCAUCUCCAGCAGGCUGUUGGAGCACAAGAGGAGCAGCUGUUACUUGUCUCACAGAGCAGGCUGGAACCUCAGCAACCGCUUGCAUCAGCAGAUGAUGCCUGAAUGAACCACUGAGCCCAGGAGAACUUUUGAGCACGUAAAAUGGGCUUUCUGUGCCUCCACGGAGCCUCAGGCUCCUCUGGAGCACAGCACGUUUGCCCAGGCAGUGCUUUGCAGUGCCCUGCUUGUUUCCUUGCCUCUCCCUGUCCCUGCUGCAGGCACAGCCUUUUGUUUGUUCUGUCUCUUGCGGCAGCCCAUGGCUUUCUCAAAGGUGCCUUCACUGCACUGUCUCCCUCCCUGGCCCCGUGUCCCUGGACACACCCUGGCCUCUCUUGCGCAGCCCCCAGCGAGAGCUUUUUGCCCCCAGUGUUGUCUGGUGCAAUUCAGGCUCUCAGAGCAGAGAUCUUGCAUUGAUGUCCAGAGGUUCUUUUGCUCCAUGUUUGCUGACAGGUUUCUGUGACCUUUCUCCCAUCCAAUGUGCAGGUGGAACGUGAAGGAAGAAGAAUCAGAACUUUUAGGAGAGUGUUCCCCCCAGAGUCCUUUACGUUCAGUGUCUCCAAGUCCGAGCAGCAAAAUAGGUCAACUUCUGAAAGAAGCUCCAGCAGCUCAGGGGAGCAGCAGUAGCCCUCCUGCUGAUGCACAGCCUGUGGAGCAAGGGGUGUCCCUGCUGCAGUCACAGCUGGCCCGAGACCGACAGCACCACCAGCAGAACUACAUUGAGAGCUGUUCAAGGACCAGCCAGGAGCUGUCAGACCUUCACCAGGAGCUGUCCUGCUCCUUUGCAGCUGUGCUCAAGGAGCCCAAAGCUGCUCUUGUGGAAGCAGAGACUUGAAGCUGCAUCAGUCUCUGAAUCUUAACUUGGCAGGGACAUCCUUGGGCCAUCAGUCUCUGGAGAGACAGGCCCUGGAGAAGGCAGGUGCAGCUCUUGUGCACAGAGGAUUUGUGCCCUGCUCAGAAGGCAGUUCCUGUCAACUGGGGCACAGAAAUCCUCCCUAGGACACAGACAAACACUAUCAAAGAUGAGGGCAAAAAACACCUGCCAAAGCUCUUCCAAGCAGACCCAUUUGGUUCUUGAAGGUCUGUUCCUAGUGAGGAAUCUUUGAUGUAAGCAGCAGGACUUUUCUUCUGCCUAGAAGACCUAGUGAUAUAUUCGCAAACAGAGAGCAGAGCAGGAAAAACAUGCACUUGUGGCUGUCUCAGGAUUCUUAAUCCAUUUUAUGAGCUGACGCUGCUCUUGGCCGCCCCGGAGCUCUGGGCUGGCUCCACAGUGCCCAGGGUCCAAUGGGAGCUCGCGGAGGGAGGGGUAAGGGGAGGAGGUUACAAUACCAGGGACCAAUGGGGAUACAAAGAAGGCGGGAAUACAACAUAACAACCAAUAGUGUUUUGAGGAAGGGAUGACAUACAUGGAAGGAGCUGGAAGGAGAGGUGGGGUUUACAGGGAUGGAUGGGGAGCUGGGGCAGGGUAAAGGUGAUUGACGGGGAACAUUCAGAAAAACUGGGAGGGGUUUACAUAACAGACAAAUGGAACCAACCAAAGCAGUAAAUGGGAGACAACCAGGAACAUAUCAAACAGACGAAAUACUAACAAUUUUAACAGAACUGAAUAAACAUACUACAACAAUGAGCCUUAAA